rnacentral:tRNA from 1 species
UGCAUAGGCCGGGAAUCGAACCCGAGGCGCCCGCGUGGCAGGCGAGCAUUCUACCACUGAACCAAAAGC